rnacentral:rRNA from 1 species
GUGGGGAAUAUUGCACAAUGGGGGAAACCCUGAUGCAGCGACGCCGCGUGGAGGAUGAAGGCCUUCGGGUUGUAAACUCCUUUUGUAGGGGAAGAUAAUGACGGUACCCUGCGAAUAAGCCACGGCUAACUCUGUGCCAGCAGCCGCGGUAAGACAGAGGUGGCGAGCGUUGUUCGGAAUUACUGGGCUUAAAGGGCGAGUAGGCGGUGGAGCAAGUCUGAGGUGGAAUCCUACGGCUUAACCGUAGAACUGCCUUAGAAACUGUUUUACUUGAGUCAGUGAGGGGAGGGCGGAAUUCCUGGUGUAGCGGUGAAAUGCGUAGAUAUCAGGAGGAAGGCCUGUGGCGAAAGUGGCCCUCUGGCACUGUACUGACGCUGAGGCGCGAAAGCGUGGGGAGCAAACAGGAUUAGAAACCCCAGUAGUCC